GAUGAACGCUGGCGGCGUGCCUAAUACAUGCAAGUCGAGCGAACAGACGAGGAGCUUGUUCCUUCGACGUUAGCGGCGGACGGGUGAGUAACACGUGGGUCACCCACCUAAAAGUCUGGGAAAAUUUCGGGAAUCGGGCGCAUACCCCGGAUAAGAUUCCGAACCGCAGGGUUCGAUAGUGAAAGAUGGCUUUUCUAGCACUUAUAGAUGCACCUGCGCCGUAUUAGCUAGUUGGUAAGGUAACGGCUUACCAAGGCAACGAUACGUAACCGACCUGACAGACUGAUAGGCCACACUGGAGCUGGACCGGGGACCAGGCUACUGCGAGAGGCCGCAGACGGCUAUGUGACGCAAUAGGGGGGAACCUGACAGAGCAGGCCCGCGUGAGUGGUAGCGGUCUUCGGUGCGUAAAGCUCUGUUAUUAGGGGUGAACAGACGUGUAAGUAACUGAGCACGUCUUGACGGUAACUAGUCAGAAAGCCACGGCUAACUACGUG
rnacentral:rRNA from 1 species